rnacentral:rRNA from 1 species
GAUCCUGGCUCAGGACGAACGCUGGCGGCGCGCCUAACACAUGCAAGUCGAACGAGCGAGAGAGAGCUUGCUUUCUCGAGCGAGUGGCGAACGGGUGAGUAACGCGUGAGGAACCUGCCUCAAAGAGGGGGACAACAGUUGGAAACGACUGCUAAUACCGCAUAAGCCCACGGCUCGGCAUCGAGCAGAGGGAAAAGGAGCAAUCCGCUUUGAGAUGGCCUCGCGUCAGA